rnacentral:miRNA from 10 species
AGUGAGUGUACAUCUAGUCCACG